rnacentral:rRNA from 1 species
UACGAAGGGUGCAAACGUUGCGCGGAAUUAUUGGGCGUAAAGCGCACGUAGGCGGCUUAGCAAGUCGGAAGUGAAAUCCCACGGCUCAACCAUGGAAGUGCUUUCGAAACUGCUGAGCUUGAGUACGAAAGAGGAUCGCGGAAUUCCCGGUGUAGAGGUGAAAUUCGUAGAUAUCGGGAGGAACACCAGUGGCGAAGGCGGCGAUCUGGGUCGAUACUGACGCUGAGGUGCGAAAGCGUGGGGAGCAAACAGG